GUCCACGCCGUAAACGAUGAAUGCUAGUCGUCGCGGGUAUUGACCCCUGCGGCAACGAAGUUAACACGCUAAGCAUUCCGCCUGGGGAGUACGGCCGCAAGGCUAAAACUCAAAGGAAUUGACGGGGGCCCGCACAAGCGGUGGAGCAUGUGGUUCAAUUCGACGCAACGCGCAGAACCUUACCUGGGUUAAAUCCGCCGGAACCUCGCAGAGAUGUGGGGGUGCUCGCAAGAGAAUCGGUGAGAAGGUGCUGCAUGGCUGUCGU
rnacentral:rRNA from 1 species